rnacentral:rRNA from 1 species
UUGCCCUAGUAACGGCGAGUGAAGCGGCAACAGCUCAAAUUUGAAAUCUGGCGCAAGCCCGAGUUGUAAUUUGUAGAGGAUGCUUCUGGGUAGCGGCCGGUCUAAGUUCCUUGGAACAGGACGUCAUAGAGGGUGAGAAUCCCGUAUGUGACUGGCUUGCACCCUCCACGUAGCUCCUUCGACGAGUCGAGUUGUUUGGGAAUGCAGCUCUAAAUGGGAGGUAAAUUUCUUCUAAAGCUAAAUACCGGCCAGAGACCGAUAGCGCACAAGUAGAGUGAUCGAAAGAUGAAAAGCACUUUGGAAAGAGAGUUAAAAAGCACGUGAAAUUGUUGAAAGGGAAGCGCCCGCAACCAGACUUUGCGGCAGUGUUCCGCCGGUCUUCUGACCGGUCUACUCGCUGUCGUGAGGCCAUCAUCGUCUGGGACCGCUGGAUAAGACCUUAGGAAUGUAGCUCCCUUCGGGGAGUGUUAUAGCCUCUGGUGAUGCAGCGCGUCUCGGGCGAGGUCCGCGCUUCGGCAAGGAUGAUGGCGUAAUGGUUGUCGGCGGCCCGUCUUGAAACACGGACCAAGGAGUCUAACAUCUAUGCGAGUGUUCGGGUGUCAAACCCCUACGCGUAAUGAAAGUGAACGGAGGUGGGAACUUUUUGUGCACCAUCGACCGAUCCUGAUGUCCUCGGAUGGAUUUGAGUAAGAGCAUAGCUGUUGGGACCCGAAAGAUGGUGAACUAUGCCUGAAUAGGGUGAAGCCAGAGGAAACUCUGGUGGAGGCUCGCAGCGGUUCUGACGUGCAAAUCGAUCGUCAAAUUUGGGUAUAGGGGCGAAAGACU